rnacentral:lncRNA from 1 species
GAUGGGUCACAGCACCAGGUCCUGCCAGAGAAAGGAAGCAAAAAUGUAAGUAGUGGGGCCAGUUGUACUGACUGUAAACAAGGACCAGGAUAAGGAGGCACCUUUUGACCCUAGAGGAUCUGAGGUCCUGUGUCUGGAACUCGUGAUAGCUGACUCAUGGCAAGGCUGCAUGGUGUGAGGAAGCAGGAAAACUGGGCAGAGAUGUGGGCUCAGAUCUUUACUCUGCUACUAACUCGGUCCCUGGCAUCCUGGACCUUUUUUGACCUCUUCUUCCUCAUGCAAGACAGGUUGAUAGCUCUCCAUCUGGGACUUGUGAUGACCUAAUCCAGUGUGAUCAUAAAUAUGCAAGAGCUUUGAACAAGUUGCAAAUAUUGUGCAAAUGUAAGGUACUAAGAUGUGGGUCCGGGCUAACCAUGGAGGGCAAAGGAGCUAUUGUUGAGAAUUUGGAAUUCUCUCUUUUCUCCGCUUCCCAGAACGACAGGAAUAAGCAGAAACGCGUCUGCUGCAGGAAAGGAUUGUCAUUGCUGGUUCUGAGUACUUGUUGACAUGUGGAUUGUGUUUCCUCAAAAGGGAGGGCUGACACUGCCCCAGCCACGAGCAAUUGCUGCUUUCCUGGCCCAACCUGGCCCCGGGGUCUGGCUGUGUGACCAGCAGCCCCUUGGAACUUCCUCACAUGCUUUUUAUCUAGGUUGGACCAGAGAUCCUGAUGUAUCUUUCUUCAGUUCCCAGAGCUGCCACACGUUAAAGUUCAGACUGAGAAGGCAUCCACCAAUUGUAAACAAUGUUCAAGAAGUCUGUUCUGAUGACUCUCUGUGCUACUUUCUCUACCUCAGGUUGUGCCAUCCCCAGGGUGGAGGGAGGAGUUCCAGUUGGAUCUCAACUGCUGCCACUUGUGGACACUUGUGAUCUCCUACCGUCUUUCCUGGUGCUGGAAGUCAGUGUCCACAGGUAAGGCUACUCUGCUUUUCAAUGGAAAAACCACCUUCCAACCUCUUCUACAUCCUGGACUUGAAGCCCUGGCUGCCCCCUUGGGAGGAUGUGGAGAAAAUACUUCACAUUCUUUUCUGAAGAGUCUGCAGCCAAGAAAGCCAGAUAUGGCUGAUUUCUCAAUCACGUUAUUCUGCCACACUAAAUGUUCAAUUAAUCGCCAUGUUACACUUACAACAGCAAAAGAAAAGUUCAGCAGUAAGUGACUAAUAAUACUGUACAGUCAUAGAAGGCUGUACUGUGUAGCCUGGCAGAAGGAUAUUUAAUGACAUG